rnacentral:rRNA from 1 species
AUGAAUCACGGACAUGCAAAGUUGAAUUCCAAUUGCAAGCACGACAGAAAGGUGAAAGAAUUCCAAAGGAAAGGAAAAGAAAGGGGAUGGAGGAGUCCAUGGAAAGAGUUUUAUUACAGGCAGCACCUCAGGAAUCACACCUAUUCGAAACCCCUGCAUGCGUCAAUUCGAAGCAACCCCCUCCCGAGAAAAAGCAAAGAGUAUCACAGCAUCCGGCCGCCGUUAUUCUGCCGGCGGCGCGGGCGUGGCCGCGGCGGCAGCGGCGUUGGCCUCGGCGACGGACUUGAGCUUCUGGAGGUUGAGCCUGACGACGGUGUCCGCGAAGAGGCGCGUGUCCUCCUCGCUGUUGCCGUCGGGGACGUCGACGACGUAGGACUCGAGGACGACGGUGCAGAUCUCGGCGGGCGCGGCCGGGGAGAGCUCGGAGACGGUGGUGACGGACCGGUAGUUGCGGAGGCGGUGCUCGCCGCCGGUGAUGGUGAAGCCGAAGGCCCUGCGCGCGUCAUCGAGGAGGUCGAGGCGCUCGGUGCUGGUGCUGGCGGGGAGGCCGGAGAUGACGCUGACCUCGCGGAGGCGGCCCGGGCGGAGCUCGUCGCCGGCCUCGGGGUCUGGGCGGAGCGCGCAGCUGCGGAUGAAGUGCUUGUACACCUGGGGGCAGUCGAAGCGGCGGACGAUGGCCCAGACGGCGGCUGGCGGCGCCUCGAUACGCUGCGCCACGAGAGAGGAGCAUUGGCCUGGCCCCACGGCGUACCGGUGGUACGCCUCCACCGUGGGCAGCAGCUGCGCGUACUCCGCGGCCGUCAGCCCAAGCCCCGCCGGUACCUCCGGCUCCGUCGCCGCCGCCGCCACAGGCUGCUGCUCCAUCGAUUGGACUCGACUCGACGCGGUCGGGUGGGGUGGGGUGGGAUGCGUGCGACAGAGAGGCUUGGAGCAGGGUGA